rnacentral:rRNA from 1 species
UUGCAAACCAUAAGCGGAGGAAAAGAAACCAACAGGGAUUGCCUCAGUAACGGCGAGUGAAGCGGCAAAAGCUCAAAUUUGAAAUCUGGUACCUUUGGUGCCCGAGUUGUAAUUUGAAGAUAGUUUUCUGGUGCUGGCCCUUGUCUAUGUUCCUUGGAACAGGACGUCACAGAGGGUGAGAAUCCCGUCUGGCGGGGUGUCCAGUGCUUUGUAGAUUUCUAUCGACGAGUCGAGUUGUUUGGGAAUGCAGCUCUAAGUGGGUGGUAAAUUCCAUCUAAAGCUAAAUAUUGGCGAGAGACCGAUAGCGAACAAGUACAGUGAUGGAAAGAUGAAAAGAACUUUGAAAAGAGAGUGAAAAAGUACGUGAAAUUGUUGAAAGGGAAGGGUAUUAGAUCAGACUUGGUGUUUUGUGAUUAUCUUCCCUUCUUGGGUUGUGCACUCGCAUUUCACUGGGCCAGCAUCGGUUCGGGUGGUAAGAUAAUGACAUUGGAACGUGGCACUACCUUCGGGUGGUGUGUUAUAGCCCUUGUUGAUGUUGCCUGCCUGGACCGAGGACUGCGGCUUUUGCCUAGGAUGCUGGCGUAAUGAUCUAACACCGCCCGUCUUGAACAGGCCA